UACGUAGGGUGCGAGCGUUAAUCGGAAUUACUGGGCGUAAAGCGUGCGCAGGCGGCGCGUUAAGACAGGUGUGAAAGCCCCGAGCUUAACUUGGGAAUUGCGCUUGUGACUGGCGUGCUGGAGUGUGGCAGAGGGAGGUGGAAUUCCACGUGUAGCAGUGAAAUGCGUAGAGAUGUGGAGGAACACCGAUGGCGAAGGCAGCCUCCUGGGCCAGCACUGACGCUCAUGCACGAAAGCGUGGGGAGCGAAACAGG
rnacentral:rRNA from 1 species